rnacentral:rRNA from 1 species
UACGGAGGGUGCAAGCGUUAUCCGGAUUCACUGGGUUUAAAGGGUGCGUAGGUGGGCAAGUAAGUCAGUGGUGAAAUCUCCGGGCUUAACCCGGAAACUGCCAUUGAUACUAUUUGUCUUGAAUACUGUGGAGGUCAGCGGAAUAUGUCAUGUAGCGGUGAAAUGCUUAGAUAUGACAUAGAACACCAAUUGCGAAGGCAGCUUGCUACAGGAAUAUUGACACUGAGGCACGAAAGCGUGGGGAUCAAACAGG